rnacentral:rRNA from 1 species
CCUACGGGUGGCUGCAGUCGAGAAUCAUUCACAAUGGGGGAAACCCUGAUGGUGCGACGCCGCGUGGGGGAAAGAAGGUCUUCGGAUUGUAAACCCCUGUCAUGGGGGAGCAAAUUAAAAAGAUAGUACCACAAGAGGAAGAGACGUCUAACUCGGUGCCAGUAGCAGCGGUAAUACAGAGGUCUCAAGCGUGGUUCGGAAUCACUGGGAGGAAAGCGUGCGUAGGCGGUUUCGUAAGUCGUGUGUGAAAGGCGCGGGCUCAACCCCGGGACGGCACAUGAUACUGCGAGACUAGAGUAAUGGAGGGGGAACCGGAAUUCUCGGUGUAGCAGUGAAAUGCGUAGAUA